rnacentral:rRNA from 2 species
CAUGGUCUUUUGUUUAUAUAAAAGAUCUGGCCUGCCCAAUGAUUAAUUUAAUGGCUGCAGUAUUUUGACUGUACAAAGGUAGCAUAAUCAUUUGUCUUUUAAUUGGAGUCUGGAAUGAAUGGUUGGAUGAAAAAUUUACUUUCUUUAUUUUAAAUAAAAAAAUUAUUUUCUGAAUUAAAAAAUUUAGAUUUUAUUAAAAGACGAGAAGACCCUAUAGAACUUUAUUUGUUUUAUAAUGUUUAUUUUUUAGGAAAUAAUUUAUAUUUAUUGUUGAAUAAAUUUUGUUGGGGUGAUAAAAAAAAUUUUUUAACUUUUUUUAUUUAUUACAUUUAUAUAUGAGUAUUUGAUCCUUUAUUAAAGAUUACAAGAUUAAGUUACCUUAGGGAUAACAGCGUUAUUAUUUUAGAGAGUUCAUAUUGAUAAAAUAGUUUGCGACCUCGAUGUUGGAUUAAAAUAAGUUUCAGGAGUAGAAAAUUGAAUACUAGGUCUGUUCGACCUUUAAAUUUUUACAUGAUC